GACGAACGCUGGCGGCGUGCUUAACACAUGCAAGUCGAACGGAAAUAUAUAAGUAGUUUACUAUGAAUAUAUUUUAGUGGCGGACGGGUGAGUAACACGUGGGCAACCUGCCCUAUGCACAGGGAUAACGCACCGAAAGGUGUGCUAAUACCGGAUAAAGCGAGAUGUCCGCAUGGACGACUCGCCAAAGCUUUUGCGGCAUAGGAUGGGGCCG
rnacentral:rRNA from 1 species